rnacentral:lncRNA from 1 species
ACACAUCGCACAAGGUUUAUAUAGACAGAAGUUGAGCGUUUCAGCGAGAUAACCACGUGGUGGAUUUCUGAUAUCCGAGGCAAGGAUGGAAGUUUUGCAAGGUCGGAAGAAGCACAGUUCGAACCUUCUUAUCACUUCUGGUCUAAACAUGCUCUUGUACAUGUGCAGACUAAGUGGCACCUAAUAUUCUAAGUUACACACACGCAGAAACACAGAAAAGCCAUGUUCCUGCUUACAUAAGUACAUGAUUCAUAUAAGGUAAUUAAUAAUACAAGGCACUUGAUUAUUAUAUUCUUAAGUCAUUAACAGUGUUUGGAAAUUAUCUCCAUCACACGCUGCUCUGUCUGUGUGAUUUCUCACACCGCCGUGUCCAUCCCCAUCUUUCCUCCCCAGAGCCCUUCAGCCUGCACGUGAAGCCCUACGUGGCCAAGGAGCGCGCCGUCAAGCCCGGGUUCGUGCUGCCGCUGAGGGACCACGCCGUGCACCGUGGAAACGACUGCACCAUGAGCUGCGCCUUCACGGGCAGCCCGGUGCCCACCGCCUCCUGGUACCGCGGCGACAUAAAGGUGUCGAACGGGCCGCGGUUCUGGCAGAACACGGCCAACGGGGUGUGCACGCUCACUAUCCCUACGUGCACGGCCAAGGAUAGUGGGGAGUACAUGCUGGUGCUGGAGAACCCACUAGGGGAGGCCAAGUGCAAGUGCAACCUGGUCAUCUUUGAUAAGGAUGACAAGGGUCUGCUGGAGAGUUUAACGGAAAGUUCUGGAAAAGAAAAGCACAUCAUGUGAGAAGAUCCAUAAGAAGACCUUGGCUAUCCCCUAUAAUUGCUCAUGUUUGUUUGUAGUUUUUGAGACCUGUUAUGAAACUAGGAUAAUAGAAAUAGAGGAAAUUAAAAAUCAAGCAGAAAAGCGAACUCCUUCUAAUGUAAAAUCAACUGAUUUUUGUUGUACCCAUAAAACCAUGUUCAGAUUAUUACUGGAAAUGAACUGUGCUUAAUGUCCUUAAUGUUAAUUAUUUCAGACAGAUAUUUCAAUUUACACAUCUGACCCUUAUUUUGACGGGCAACUGACAAUGUGCAACAAGCAAAGUCCACCACGCAUGAACUAAAGCUAAUUUAAUAACCUGGCGAAAUCAUUUUGCUAAUUUAAUACCGUGAGCAAGAUGCUAAGUGCAAUGCUCCCGCAUGUCAUACGAUAACUUUAGUUCAUGGGCGAUGGACAUUGCUUUGCUUAUUGUCCGUCAAUGAAACUAGGGCCCUUAGCGUGUUCAUUAUAUUGCAGGUAUAGUGCAGUCACAGUCAUUUCUCACACAGUCAUAUAGGUCAGCAUUGAUAAAUACGUCUCUUAAUUAUUGUGCUUUAACCUUUCAGUGAACUGGGGUAAAACAGGACGAAAAUAGGAUGGGGUCGAUGUGAAAUUGAAUAAAGCCAGCGUUGCAACCA